UAGAAACAGAAAUGGUCAAAUCAUAACACU
rnacentral:piRNA from 1 species